AGACACCUCUCACGGCUCUCAGCUUCCGGUUGUUGUUGGUCGAACACGUGUGUUAUGUGUAUCACUAGAACGGCUAUGCGGGGAACUUGAGAUCGGCUACUUGUGCCAUGCCAACAUCAAAUUUGGAGCAAGUGGAAGUUCUUUCCAUUGAGUAUGUUGAGAACAUAGCCUGCAUCAGGAAGGUCCAGGAUAAGCAGGUGAUAGCAUGGAGGUGAUGGGAGAGGAGCAUGGAUAAAUUAAGCUGUUUAUGAGAAAGAUUGUCUACUCCUACAAAAAGCUCAUUAUGUGACAAUGUUUUGCAUCUGCCUUCUAACAGAUUCAACGUGCGGCUCAAGACAUUAAGUACAUAGAAGAAAAUCCUGAACUUUAUUCUGCAAAGUAGUGAAAGUUAUUUUGAAUAAAUAUUUAAACCUGUGUUCUGCUUUGCUGCCAGAAACAUUUGCAUGAUGUCAAGUGUCCUGUGCAUUGAUGGGCUGAUGAAUCAUGGAGAGCAGAUUUCUUCUUUGGUUAGAAGUUUGAUUUGAUGAUUUUAAAAUUGAUGCCAACAGAAAUGUGAUUUUUCGGUGCAGUGGCUCAUUAAAGGCAUCAAACACAUUU